AUUCUGGCAGAAGAAACUGGUACUCGAAAUGAUCUGAAGGAGCAGAUCAGCCUUGGCCUGAGAGUUCGAGCUGGUACACAGAUGGCAGUAGCCUUGCAGUUGAAGGACUGAGACGGCCAAUGUGAUAGCCAAGAAGAUCCUAGAAGAAAUCUUCCCAAGUGCUUGCUGAGUGUCGUGAGGAAUGGCCACAUCAUGGGGUCAAGGGAAAGGCCCAGUUGGGAUAACUUGCACGGCCUUGGAUUUUGCCAGCAAGAAGAUCACCCUCAGAUGCAUUCCUUGGCCUUGGACCUUCACAGCUGUGAGCUAAAUAAGUCUCUUUUCUCAACAAUGCACCUGAUCUGGGACACUGCAGUGUGGACAACGGAACAGAACUCAGGGUGCUGACAUGAUCCUGCCACCUCCUCCCCAUGGUCAGGUACAUUGCAAAGGGCAGCGAAGCCCUGAUGCAGAGCAUGCAGAGCGGGGUGUAGCCCCAUGACUGGCCACACCCUGGCUGUACCCCUCACCCCUGGCUUCCGGAACUCACCAGA